UACUGAUGGACGGAAAAUGGUCGUACACGCUGAACUGUCAAUGUGCAACUCGACAUUUUUUCAAGAUAUAUUAUUUUGAAACGUCCUGCUCCUCGUUCGGCGAAGGCUGUAUAGAUUCAUAACUGGAUUCCCCCAUACAUUGUGAAUGUCAGUGUUCUUAGGUUGUUUUCCUGUUUCAGCGACUUUCAAACCUUGCGUUUAUUUUUUAAGAUUUAUUAAAGCUGAUGGCUGGCUGAACGUUUUAUUAAUGAAAGAAAACCUUUCUUUCUCUCUCUCUCUUUAUAGUGUAAAUACUAAAAGCAUGUAUCACUGUUAUGUUUUUACAGUCACUUGUUCUGUAUUUAUGUCGCAUGGCGCUAAGUAUGAGUUAGACAAAUAUACACAUCCAUAGCUUAACGCCACCAAGAGGAAACGACUAUUCAGGCAGUAGCCCUUAAAUCUAACAUUAGAUGUUAAAGUACGUCUCUUGCUGUAUUCAAUCCAGUAUCCAGUGAUAUUUUAAACACUCGCUCAUCCUACCAAAUGGCAGUUAAUACAUUCAAACCACCGGAAAUUUCAAAAUGCAGAAUUUCGGGCUUUAGUAAGGCUGUCACCGCAGGAGUAUAUGGCUAUGCCCAGCUGUUUAUCCUUCCUGGACAGCUGGCAUCUGAGCUAUAUAACAGUGGCUCACACGGGAAACCUCCGGAGGUUAUUUGUCCCUCUCUCCUUCAUUAUAUUAAGACACUUUGCCGCAACCACUUUAUAUCCUAGAGCUAACGCCAGCAUGACCAGCAGUAUUUAUAUUAAUCCUUGAAAAAGUUGUAGCUACAGCCAGGCCAGUCUCCUCUUCCAGUGCGUUCUAGAUAUCGAUAUCUACUCCAUCUGUAGAAAAAAUAUAUUGUAAUAUAUUGUAAAAAAAAUAAUCGAUCAACAUCAAAUAAAAGCAGGAAUUCACAAAUGUUCUGCGUGGUGAUCUAAACCGAUUCUUAAGUGCCCGUUGGGUUCACCAGCAGAUGGCGGCUUACGAGCACAGCACACAGCACAACUACUUACAAGCAAACAGCAUGACUAUGAAAAGGCAGACUAUGAAAAUGUGUCAAAGCAGGACGAGGAGUGACCUCUCCAAAGGACCAGUGAACACUAUGUAUUCAGAAGACCAGCCAUUUUGCAGACCUAUAUGGAGGAGCAGAACAGGCUCUACACAACUAAUUCGUUUUUCUGACCAAAAUGUGACAUUCUCAAUUAGGGAACUCCAAUUACAUUGGUGUGAAAGCAGUGUUAAUGAAAAAAUUGACCGAAUGGAUAAUAAUAAUAUUAAUAUGAUUCAAUUGUGGAUUGUCAUGAACAACUGAUGCUAGAAACAAGUAUACAGUAAAUAUAUAAAAGUGACAUUGUCUAUUGUACUCUUUUGUGUACACAAGUCCAGAUAAAGCAUUUCUGUUUAGGCUAUUUGGUAUGUUUAUAAUGCUGAAAUGAUGUAAACUACAACAUAAAAUUAAAUGCAAGCUUUGUAAUUUAAAACACCUUGCACUGUACCUCUAAAGCAAACUAUAUUAAACGA